ACGUGCGGUUCUAUUUUGUUGGUUUCUAGAGUCGCCGUAAUGAUUAAUAGGGACAGUUGGGGGCAUUGGUAUUCGGGCGCUAGAGGUGAAAUUCUUGGAUUGCCCGAAGACUAACUACUGCGAAAGCAUUUGCCAAGGAUGUUUUCAUUGAUCAAGGACGAAGGUUAGGGGCUCGAAAACGAUCAGAUACCGUUGUAGUCUUAACAGUAAACUAUGCCGACUAGGGAUCGGGCGACCUCAAUCUGAUGUGUCGCUCGGCACCUUACGAGAAAUCAAGGUCUUUGGGUUCUGGGGGGAGUAUGGUCGCAAGGCUGAAACUUAAAGGAAUUGACGGAAGGGCACCACCAGGAGUGGAGCCUGCGGCUUAAUUUGACUCAACACGGGGAAACUCACCAGGUCCAGACAUGACUAGGAUUGACAGAUUGAUAGCUCUUUCAUGAUCUCAUGGGUGGUGGUGCAUGGUCGUUCUUAGUUGGUGGAGUGAUUUGUCUGGUUAAUUCCGAUAACGAACGAGACCUUAACCUGCUAAAUAGCCAGGCCGGCUUUGGCUGGUCGCGGGCUUCUUAGAGGGACUGUCAGCGUCUAGCUGACGGAAGUUUGAGGCAAUAACAGGUCUGUGAUGCCCUUAGAUGUUCUGGGCCGCACGCGCGCUACACUGACAGAGCCAGCGAGUUUCUCUCCUUGGCCGGAAGGUCCGGGUAAUCUUGU
rnacentral:rRNA from 1 species